rnacentral:rRNA from 1 species
GACGAACGCUGGCGGCGUGCCUAAUACAUGCAAGUAGAACGCUGAAGGAGGAGCUUGCUUCUCUGGAUGGGUUGCGAACGGGUGAGUAACGCGUAGGUAACCUGCCUGGUAGCGGGGGAUAACUAUUGGAAACGAUAGCUAAUACCGCAUAAGAGUAGAUGUUGCAUGACAUUUGCUUAAAAGGUGCAAUUGCAUCACUACCAGAUGGACCUGCGUUGUAUUAGCUAGUUGGUGGGGUAACGGCUCACCAAGGCGACGAUACAUAGCCGACCUGAGAGGGUGAUCGGCCACACUGGGACUGAGACACGGCCCAGACUCCUACGGGAGGCAGCAGUAGGGAAUCUUCGGCAAUGGACGGAAGUCUGACCGAGCAACGCCGCGUGAGUGAAGAAGGGUUUCGGAUCGUAAAGCUCUGUUGUAAGAGAAGAACGAGUGUGAGAGUGGAAAGUUCACACUGUGACGGUAUCUUACCAGAAAGGGACGGCUAACUACGUG